AGUGAACGUUGGCGGCGUGGAUUAGGCAUGCAAGUCGAGCGAGAACCGUAGCAAUACGGGGACAGCGGCGAAAGGGACAGUAAUGUGUAGGUACCUACCCCGAGGUCUGGGAUAGCUGCGGGAAACUGCAGGUAAUACCGGAUAAUGUCUUCGGACCAAAGGUGUGAUUCCACCUUGGGAGGGGCCUGCAUCCUAUUAGCUAGUUGGGGAGGUAACGGCUCACCAAGGCGACGAUGGGUAGCGGGUGUGAGAGCACGACCCGCGUCAUUGGGACUGAGACACUGCCCAGACACCUACGGGUGGCUGCAGUCGAGGAUCUUCGGCAAUGGGCGAAAGCCUGACCGAGCGACGCCGCGUGUGGGAUGAAGGCCUUCGGGUUGUAAACCACUGUCGUAGAGGAGGAAAUGCAGGGGGGUUCUCCCUUCUGUUUGACCUAUUCUAGGAGGAAGUACGGGCUAAGUUCGUGCCAGCAGCCGCAGUAA
rnacentral:rRNA from 1 species